GAUGAACGCUAGCUACAGGCUUAACACAUGCAAGUCGCGGGGCAGCACGGGGGUUGCUUGCAACCCCUGAUGGCGACCGGCGCACGGGUGAGUAACGCGUAUCCAACCUGCCCUUCACCACGGGAUAACCCGGCGAAAGUCCGACUAAAACCGUAUGUUGUUCAUUGUCGGCGUCCGAUAUGUACGAACGGCGUGCCGUUGAAAGGGCGGGGAUGGGUUCGAUUAGCUUGCCGGCGGGGUAACGGCCCACGGUGGCUACGAUCGGUAGGGGUUCUGAGAGGAAGGUCCCCCACACUGGAGCUGAGACCCGGUCCAGACUCCUACGGGAGGCAGCAGUGAGGAAUAUUAGUCAAUGGGCGUAAGCCUGAACCAGCCAAGUAGCGUGCAGGAUGACGGCCCUAUGGGUUGUAAACUGCUUUUAUGCGGGGAUAAAGUGGCCCACGUGUGGGCUUUUGCAGGUACCGCAUGAAUAAGGACCGGCUAAUUCCGUG
rnacentral:rRNA from 1 species